AGUGAACGCUGGCGGUAGGCCUAACACAUGCAAGUCGAACGGCAGCACAGUAAGAGCUUGCUCUUACGGGUGGCGAGUGGCGGACGGGUGAGGAAUACAUCGGAAUCUACUUUUUCGUGGGGGAUAACGUAGGGAAACUUACGCUAAUACCGCAUACGACCUACGGGUGAAAGCAGGGGAUCUUCGGACCUUGCGCGAUUGAAUGAGCCGAUGUCGGAUUAGCUAGUUGGCGGGGUAAAGGCCCAACAAGGCGACGAUCCGUAGCUGGUCUGAGAGGAUGAUCAGCCACACUGGAACUGAGACACGGUCCAGACUCCUACGGGAGGCAGCAGUGGGGAAUAUUGGACAAUGGGCGAAAGCCUGAUCCAGCCAUACCGCGUGAGUGAAGAGGGCCUUCGGGUUGUAAAGCCCUUUUGUUGGGAAAGAAAAGCAGCAGGUUAAUACCCCGCUGUUCUGACGGUACCCAAAGAAUAAGCACCGGCUAACUUCGUG
rnacentral:rRNA from 1 species